rnacentral:piRNA from 1 species
UACAACACAUUUUUAACCGAGUCUGCCUCAGC